ACUCCUGCGGGAGGCAGCAGUGAGGAAUAUUGGACAAUGGGUGGAAGCCUGAUCCAGCCAUCCCGCGUGCAGGAAGACGGCCCUAUGGGUUGUAAACUGCUUUUAUCUGGGGAUAAACCUACUUACGUGUAAGUAGCUGAAGGUACCAGAAGAAUAAGCACCGGCUAACUCCGUGCCAGCAGCCGCGGUAAUACGGAGGGUGCAAGCGUUAUCCGGAUUUAUUGGGUUUAAAGGGUCCGUAGGCGGACUGAUAAGUCAGUGGUGAAAUCCGACAGCUUAACUGUCGAACUGCCAUUGAUACUGUUAUUCUUGAGUAAGGUUGAAGUGGCUGGAAUAAGUAGUGUAGCGGUGAAAUGCAUAGAUAUUACUUAGAACACCAAUUGCGAAGGCAGGUCACUAAGUCUUAACUGACGCUGAUGGACGAAAGCGUGGGGAGCGAACAGGAUUAGAAACCCGAGUAGUCCCA
rnacentral:rRNA from 1 species